AGUCAUGUUUGCGUGGACAUCCGACAAGAAGAUAGAAGUCAAGGGGAUAAAGAAAAACUUACCGAGGCAGGGCAUGGUUUACUCCCAAAGCUCAUCACCUCCACCGAUAAUUUUGUAGGAGUAAAGAAAAUACAAGAGUUAAAGCUGCUGCAUGCACAAGCAGAUGAACUUCUUCUCCUAGUUUGCAAGAAUGCAGGGAAG